rnacentral:misc_RNA from 1 species
AAGAGAUCAUGCCCUCACGGGUAGACCUCCCACCCUUUGUUUACAAUACCUUUGUUGCUUUGGCGGGCCCGUUUGGCCCCGCGCUGAACAACCGGCCCCGGCUGGUCAGUGCCCGCCAGAGAACCGAAAACUCUGGUUAAAAUGUGUCAUGGUCUGAGUACAAUAUUUAAUUAAAGAAA